rnacentral:rRNA from 1 species
GACAGGGGUCCCGAGCGUUAGGCGGAAUCACUGGGCUUAAAGCGUGUGUAGGCGGAUCGUUAAGUGCCUUGUGAAAUCCCAUGGCUUAACCAUGGAACUGCUGGGCAUACUGGCGAUCUUGAGCCACUUAGGGGCUACCGGAACAAAUGGUGGAGCGGUGAAAUGCGUAGAUAUCAUUUGGAACGCCAAUGGUGAAAACAGGUAGCUGGGAGUGUGCUGACGCUGAGACACGAAAGCCAGGGGAGCGAACGGG